rnacentral:tmRNA from 1 species
AAAUCGCGGACUACGCACGUAGGGUCAAAGAGCAGACGGCUUUCGGACGAGGGUUCGAUUCCCUCCGCCUCCAAAA